GAUAAGAACGCAGCGAAAUGCGAUAAGUAAUGUGAAUUGCAGAAUUCAGUGAAUCAUCGAAUCUUUGAACGCACAUUGCGCCCGCCAGUAUUCUGGCGGGCAUGCCUGUUCGAGCGUCAUUACAACCCUCAGGCCCCCGGGCCUGGCGUUGGGGAUCGGCGGAGCCCCCCGUGGGCACACGCCGUCCCCCAAAUGCAGUGGCGGUCCCGCCGCAGCUUCCAUCGCGUAGUAGCUAACACCUCGCGACUGGAGAGCGGCGCGGCCACGCCGUAAAACACCCAACUCUUCUGAAGUUGACCUCGAAUCAGGUAGGAAUACCCGCUGAACUUAAGCAUAUCAAUAAGCGGAGGA
rnacentral:misc_RNA from 1 species